GGGUGCGAGGGCGAUCUGGCUGCGACCUCUGUCACCCCACUGAGCGCCAGGGUUGAUCCUGCUGACCUGGCUGGCCGGACGGGUGUCGCCUUCCUCCCUCAGCACUCCGUGUGCGGCCCUCCCGAAGCCGAAGCUGCGCGCUCAGUGGAGGAGGACGAACACCCCCAAUAGAGGAGGACCGUUUCCUCGCUCAAGGGUACAGGAGGAGCUGCGCUCCCCUGCUAGAAGCUCCAGACAAGCUCUCAAAGCAUUAUCUGAAAAUAAAGGUUUUUCUCAUUUCUUCAUUUCAUCUCUUACCCUGCUUAUUUUGCUUAUCUUA
rfam:Heterocephalus glaber contig193093, whole genome shotgun sequence.